rnacentral:rRNA from 1 species
UACAGAGGUCUCAAGCGUUGUUCGGAUUCAUUGGGCGUAAAGGGUGCGUAGGUGGCGUCGUAAGUCGGGUGUGAAAUUUCGGAGCUCAACUCCGAAACUGCAUUCGACACUGCGGUGCUUGAGGACUGGAGAGGAGACUGGAAUUUACGGUGUAGCAGUGAAAUGCGUAGAGAUCAUAAGGAAGACCAGUGGCGAAGGCGGGUCUCUGGACAGUUCCUGACACUGAGGCACGAAGGCCAGGGGAGCAAACGGG